GACGAACGCUGGCAGCGUGCUUAACACAUGCAAGUCGAACGAUGAAGCUGGAGCUUGCUCCGGUGGAUUAGUGGCGAACGGGUGAGUAACACGUGAGCAAUCUGCCCUUGACUCUGGGAUAACUGCGGGAAACUGUAGCUAAUACCGGAUACUUUCCUUGGUGGGCAUCCACUGGGGAAGAAAGAAUUUCGGUCAAGGAUGAGCUCGCGGCCUAUCAGCUAGUUGGUGAGGUAAUGGCUCACCAAGGCGACGACGGGUAGCCGGCCUGAGAGGGUGACCGGCCACACUGGAACUGAGACACGGUCCAGACUCCUACGGGAGGCAGCAGUGGGGAAUAUUGCACAAUGGGCGAAAGCCUGAUGCAGCAACGCCGCGUGAGGGACGAAGGCCUUCGGGUUGUAAACCUCUUUUAGCAGGGAAGAAGCGAAAGUGACGGUACCUGCAGAAAAAGCACCGGCUAACUACGUGCCAGCAGCCGCGGUAA
rnacentral:rRNA from 1 species